AUUGAACGCUGGCGGCAGGCCUAACACAUGCAAGUCGAGCGGUAGCGCAGAGAGCUUGCUCUCGGGUGACGAGCGGCGGACGGGUGAGUAAUGUCUGGGAAACUGCCUGAUGGAGGGGGAUAACUACUGGAAACGGUAGCUAAUACCGCAUAACGUCGCAGGACCAAAGUGGGGGACCUUCGGGCCGCAUGCCAUCAGAUGUGCCCAGAUGGGAUUAGCUAGUAGGUGGGGUAACGGCUCACCUAGGCGACGAUCCCUAGCUGGUCUGAGAGGAUGACCAGACACACUGGAACUGAGACACGGUCCAGACUCCUACGGGAGGCAGCAGUGGGGAAUAUUGCACAAUGGGCGCAAGCCUGAUGCAGCCAUGCCGCGUGUGUGAAGAAGGCCUUCGGGUUGUAAAGCACUUUCAGCGGGGAGGAAGGCGAUAAGGUUAAUAACCUUGUCGAUUGACGUUACCCGCAGAAGAAGCACCGGCUAACUCCGUGCCAGCAGCCGCCGUAA
rnacentral:rRNA from 1 species